GUAUACACAUGCGUGCGUGCGUGUGCACGUAAGAGUGCGUAACACACCUUUGAGUAGACAAAAUGGGAGUAGGCGAAAUGCGAAUAUCACCUAUUCCGAGAGUAGACGAAAUGGGAAUAGGCGAAAUGGGAAUAUCACCCAUUCCGAGAGUAGAUGAAAUGGGAAGUAGGCGAAAUGGGGAUAUCACCCAUUCCGAGAGUAGACGAAAUGGGAAUAUCACCCAUUCCGAGAGUAGACGAAAUGGGAAGUAGGCGAAAUGGGGAUAUCACCCAUUCCGAGAGUAGACAAAAUGGAAGUAGGCGAAAUGGGGUGGGACAUCCAACCGGGAUGUUACCUGUGGUGCUUCCUGUCUGGUAAGGAAUCUGCUGCUACCAUGGUGUGUGAUAGAAUGGGCAUCAAGUUAUAUCGAUUUCAUAUUUAUGCCCAAAUUUAUCAUUGGGUUGAUGACUUUACUCUAAAAAUACAAAUUAAGUGUGCAAAUUCUUCCAUGUUUUACUAGAAAUACGUGAUAGUGACAUUGAAUGUCUACAUACUGUUUCAUCUUAAUGGGGAGACUAAUAAUAUGUGUUUCAUCAGUAGCAGAUCAGUGGACAAAUGUGCCUCUUAAUGGUAACGGAAUUAAAGAAUUUCCUACAACUGAAUACAUCAAACUACGUAUUCUUGGUAACUAUGGCUAUACAUCGACUUAUAGAUUGUCUGACUUGUGCUUGGAAUCUUUCAACAGAAUACUCGAUUUAAAAAAGAAGAAGUAUGGAACACUGAUUUCAGAUAACUAUCACUUAAUUAAAUCAUACUAGGACGACAUCACAAAUGAUGGAGAUCUGUAACACAGAACAUGAAAACUUAUUAAACUGAAGCGCAGAACAUGUGGCUAAACAAACUAAACUGAACUGGUACAGUCACAGUACAUUAUUCACUAUUUUUUCCCACUGAUGUAUUAUUUUUUUACGCCGAUGCUAAACAAUGAAAUUUGAGAAAAAUGUUAAAGCUAAAAUUAUAUUGUUGCUGGCAUUCCAGUUAAAAAGGAUACUAAAACAUAAAAAUAUUAUAAAUUAAUACGAAAAGUCAGCGUAAUUACGAAAAACUUUCAUGCUUUUAUCAAUGUUCCUCGAUUUGUUUCUGUUUUCAAUAUAUGCGUACUAGUUAGUAUUAUAUAGUUUUAAUUUUUGUGCGUGUGAUAUGGUUGUUGAUUAUGUAACGUGGAACUGUAUGUGGUAUGUGUGAAUUACGCAUUAUAUACAUUUCAAUGGAUCUAUUACAAAUUUUCACUGUAAUAUGUUACUAUAGAUCGCCAUUAUAUUAUUUUCAAGAGAAUGGGUUAGCAGUACCGAACGUCUAUAUUCUAUAGCAUAGAUCGGUUGAUUGUGUUAGGUAUAAGGUCUACUUGGGCCUAUAGUUACCCCUAAUGGCAGGACUUUCAAAUUAAUUAACAAUGAAGGGGCGUUAAUAAGAAACGUUGGGUGGUCCGCAUAGAUGGACAUAUAUUAUAUAAAUAACUUGUGAGAAAUUGACAUUUUUGUACAUUUAUUCUCUACAUAUAAAUAUGUCUAUAAUAUAUUUUUUUUUCGCUUGUGAGUAAAAUUAUUCAAAUAUGCCUGUGUAAAAGGGUACCUGUCUAUAUUCAUACGGGUCGCCGGGUCGUUGGUCCUACGGUUAAUAGUAAGAGGGGUAGAGAGUGAGAGUGUACUUUGCAAAAUCAACUGUUUUAUUACCAUAAUGCACAAAAACCAACAAAGAAGACGGACUCAAUGCAAAAUGAACUUUAUUUAAAUUUGUUAUUUAAUAGCGUUUACUAAAAACGUUUUCUAAUAAAGUUAGAUUUUAGUUAUUGAAAAACGUUUGCCAAAAUCGUUUUAUUAACGUUCACUAAACGUUGAUAGUAAAGUUUCAUGUCGGUUCUUAACAGACUUGCUAAAAACGUUUUGUACGCCACUACGUAACAUUUAAAAUAAGGUUGUGAAAUGGUUUCAUAAAAACGUUGAAAACCAACGUUUAUUUACUGUUCGCAUUACCAAGACUAUGUUUAGGUUCGUUUACUAAAUUAUCAUUGAACAUUUUUUUAUAGUAAUUACGUUGGUCGAUCAAAAAUGCUGUAUAUGAAAGUUUCAUUGUAGUAGCAUUUUUUAGUAUCUAGCAUGAAAUGAUUAUCAACAGUGAGUUACUCUAAAAAGCGUUUUUUUUUUACAAACGUGCACUAUAGCCAUGCAUUUGUUAAUAUGUUAUAUACGAUGUUAUAUACCAACGCUUUAUAGGUAUUUUACGUUUAACCAUGUACGCGCAUGUAUCAAUUUAUUUCUUAUUACUGCUGCUGAAGGGGUUGAAUAGCGAUUGGAUGAUUGGUUGAAAUAUCGUGCCUGAGUGUGUGCCUGCGUGUGUGCCCGCGUGCGUGCCUGCAUGUGUGCGUGCGUAGGACCAAUGACCCGUAGGACUAUAGAACGGCAAUCGUUUAAAAUUAGUUACCAAAAAUUAUGAUUUGGUAUGAUUUGGUAUGUUUUCCCCACUGACAUUAGUCCUGUUCCGACAUGAAAAAGUGACUGUACUCGGAAACAUGUGCAGUGGAAACCUGUACUUAUAUUAUGUAUGGUACCUGUUAGAUAAUUUUGAACUAUGCCAUGAUCUUACGCAGUACUCGAUAGCUUAUAAAUCUCCAUUGGCAUUUGCUUUGAGAUAUUUUGUUGUUUACACGACUGGGUGCAUUGGUAUAGUUUGGUUGGUGGCUAAUUUAAUAAACAUAUACUAAACCUUCA